GGUAGCCUUGGGUGCCUUUGUGACUGUGAUCCUGCUUUAUUUUCUGGGACUACGUGUGUCAAAGCUUCGCUGUACUCAGUACUGCUACCAUCUGUUCCAACGCAAAUGUUUCCCUGGGAUGUUUAAUCAUGCACGGGAGCCUGACCUCCCUGACUGUGUUCCACCUGGUCAACCUAAGAAGAAAAGACUUCUUUCUCUGGACACAUUCAGAGGGUAAAACUCUUCUUCCCUUAGGAGAACUUUGGAAAUGAGAGUAAGAGGGUCAGUGACUGGGGCUAGGAAGGUGUUAAUUGUACUAGAAUUCAAUGGUAUCUCUUGGAUUAGAGUUCUGUGAUUUCAGCAUCCUAGAUGUUGGAAGGUCAUGGGAAGAUGAUACAUGCUCUCUGAAAGAAUCCUUUUGAUAAAACCAAUGCAGAAAAUAUGCUUUAAGAAACUGAGAUCUUUCUAUCCUAUGGAGACUUAUGAGAAGAGGGGAACUGCACACCAUAUCAAAUAGCCAAACCUUCCAACUUAUUUCAUCAAUAUAUCC